AGAGUUUGAUCCUGGCUCAGGACAAACGCUGGCGGCGUGCGUAACACAUGCUAGUCGUGCGGGCUGGUUCUUCGGAACCAGUCAGCGGCGGACGGGUGAGUAACACGUGAAUCACCAACCCUCCAGUGGGGGAUACCCGGCGGAAACGCUGGUUAAGCCCGCAUACGUUCCCUUCGGGGAAGAAAGCGGCAACGCGCUGGUGGACGGGUUCGCGGUCGAUUAGCUAGUUGGCAGGGUAAGAGCCUACCAAGGCGACGAUCGAUAGCUGGUCUGAGAGGAUGAUCAGCCACACUGGGAUUGAGAACGGCCCAGACUCCUACGGGGGGCAGCAGUGAGGAAUCUUCGUCAAUGGGCACAGGCCUGAACGAGCAACGCCGCGUGGAGGAUGACGCCUUUCGGGGUGUAAACUCCUUUUCUGGGGGACGAGACAGGACGGUACCCCAGGAAGAAGUCUCGGCUAACUACGUGCCAGCAGCCGCGGUAAUACGUAGGAGACGAGCGUUGUCCGGAGUUACUGGGCGUAAAGGGCGCGCAGGCGGCCUGCCAUGUGUGCGGUGAAAGCUCCCGGCUUAACUGGGAGAGGCCCGUGCAAACGGGUGGGCUUGAGCGUCGGAGAGGGGCAUGGAAUUCCGGGUGGAGCGGUGAAAUGCGUAGAGAUCCGGAAGAACACCAAUGGCGAAGGCAGUGCCCUGGCCGACGGCUGACGCUCAGGCGCGAAAGCGUGGGGAGCAAACAGGAUUAGAUACCCUGGUAGUCCACGCCGUAAACGAUGUCCACUAGGUGUGCAAGGUAUCGACCCCUUGUGUGCCACAGCUAACGCAAUAAGUGGACCGCCUGGGGAGUACGGUCGCAAGAUUAAAACUCAAAGGAAUUGACGGGGACCCGCACAAGCAGCGGAGUGUGUGGUUUAAUUCGAUGCAACGCGAAGAACCUUACCAGGGCUUGACAUGCACUCGCACCGUCUGGAGACAGGCGUGCCCGCAAGGGACGGGUGCACAGGUGCUGCAUGGCUGUCGUCAGCUCGUGCCGUGAGGUGUUGGGUUAAGUCCCCCAACGAGCGCAACCCCUAUCGUUGGUUGUAUUUCUCCAGCGAAACUGCCCGCAAGGGAGGAAGGAGGGGCUGAAGUCAAGUCAGCACGGCCCUUACGUCCUGGGCUACACACACACUACAAUGGCUGGUACAAUGGGUCGCCAAGCGGCAACGCGGAGCCAAUCCCAGCAAAGCCAGCCUCAGUUCAGAUUGGCGGCUGCAACCCGCCGCCAUGAAGGUGGAGUUGCUAGUAACCGCAGGUCAGCAUACUGCGGUGAAUACGUUCCCGGGUCUUGUACACACCGCCCGUCACACCAUGGAAGCCGGUAACACCUGAAGCCGUUGGGCCAACCGAGGUAACUCGGAGGCAGGCGUCGAGGGUGGGAUUGGUGACUGGGGUGAAGUCGUAACAAGGUAACC
rnacentral:rRNA from 1 species